rnacentral:rRNA from 1 species
UACGUGAGGUGUCAAGCGUUGUCCGGAAUCAUUGGGCGUAAAGAGCGUGUAGGCGGCCAGAUAAGGUCCGCUGUGAAAUCUCGAGGCUCAACUUCGAGCUGUCGGUGGAAACUGUCUGGCUAGAGUCCGGAAGAGGAGAAUGGAAUUCCUGGUGUAGCGGUGAAAUGCGCAGAUAUCAGGAAGAACACCCGUGGCGAAGGCGGUUCUCUGGGACGGUACUGACGCUGAGACGCGAAAGCGUGGGGAGCGAACAGG